AGAUGUCUAUAUGUCUAUAUAGGCCUAAAGGUGUCUAUAUAGGCCUAAAUUUUAUGGGGAAAUCCUGAUUUGUGUUCAUAGUACGGCCCCCGGAGGAUUUUAUGACCAUGGUAGGAAUUUGAAGUGGCCCCUCGAAUUAAAAAGGUUCCCCACCCCUGCAUUAAACCUUUCUACUAGCCACAGCUUUGCUGUCAGUACAUUUUAUUAUGAUACUAUAAGCUCAGAAAUUAAGUUGAUCAAACAAUUCGAUCUGUGCUAUAAACAUUUAAAUGAACCUACAGAAUAGGCAAUCAAAAUAGAAUCAUCUGAAUGAUCUUUCUUGGACAUACAUUUUGAAGUGACCCUUCGAAUUAAAAAGGUUCCUCAGCUGCUUUUGAGGAAAAACAUCAAUGUGCUUGGCCACUCUGGUUUUUAAAUGGUAUUCUGAACUAAAGCAAGGAUUGUUCAAGUUAGUUGAAAAUAGACCGUCUCUGGUUAAAUUAGUUCUACACCAAGCCUUUAGGUGGCAGUAAAACUAAUUGGCACAAUGCAAAUUCCACACACAAGCCACAAAGAAAGAAGCCAUCAACCGCGGUCAACAACACCUUCCUGAUUGAACAGAACCACGCGCUGUCUGUGUGGUUUCACUGUUACAAGUUUCUUGGCGAUAUGGGGGAAAAGUUCCUCACAUACCAACGGAAAAUGGGCUUCACAUACAUGCUGCUGUCUCAUAAUAUGGCGAAGACGAGUCACCUGAAGGCCUAACUCGCCAUAGAAGACUGAAAGAAUGUAAGAUUAACUUCUUUGUGACCAAUAUGACUUGCUCAUUGAUACAUUUGCUAUGUCAAUAUGAGGUGCAUGGUGAAUUAUUUAAUUUAUUUGUCUCGCUUCUAGGAGCUGUAGAAACAACAGGGUGUUCUUUUUCAGGGUAUUCUUUUUUAUAGAACUGGACAGGUCAUUUAUUCGUUCCCCUUGUUUUUUGAAGUGUCCUGUAGGAUGCUGUGUCCUGCAAUCCUGUGUGCUGUGCUACAGACGCGUGUGGAGGUCAACCCAAAGUGGGCACAGUCUCACCACAGAAGAGUGAAAGAGGAUCCUGGCAGGGAGACGGUAGUGUCCUGCAGAAUGGUGAUGGGCCAAUCUUACAAGAGACCACAGAAAACUGAUAUAGUGAACUAUAGAAACAACAGAGUGCCUGCUGCAGUAUGACGAGGACACCCUGAGCAGAGAGCUCCAAUAGACCCAGGUCCAGUGUCUUGGCAGGGUGAAAUGGCACUGAUAUGGUGUCCUGCAGGAUGCUGUGUCCUGCAAUCCUGUGUGCUGUGCUACAGACGCGUCUGGAAGCCAACCUGAAAUAAGCACAGUCUCUCCACAGAGGAGUGAAAGAGGCUCCCAGAAGUGAGACUGAGUGCCUGUUGCAGUAUGACGAGGACACAGUGACCAGAGACCUUCAGUAGACCCUUCUGGCAUGAUUGGCGGCUGAAGAACAUGAAAUCAACAGCAAUGUUUAUAAUGUUGUACAUACCUGUAUAGUCUGUAUUAAAAGGCAGUACCUGUA